rnacentral:lncRNA from 1 species
CUUUCAUCAGUUUUUGUUUGAUUUUAAUCUAGUCGCUGGGCUUGUGAGAUUGGCUUGGGAGGUAAAGGUGUCUGCUACAGGCUUAAAGACCUGAGUUCGAUCCCCAGAAUCCACGGAGAACCGACUCUUGGAAGCGCUCCUAUGAUCCACAUGAUCAACACCUUGCGGCGGCGGGCGGGCUCCGUCAUCUCCGUGCUUCCCGACCGGAGAGAGACUAGAAAGUAUGUAGGAGAAAAGUUUCCCCUCCCACAUGGGGGGGAGGAUGUCGGGGGAGAGAGGGCGGAAGAUGGAGAGCAGCGCUGGGAAGAUGUUUCUGGCCCGCGGUGCGCGCACCAUCCGAGUCCCGGCGGUACUGGUUAAAAAUAAACUCGGCGGCGCGGGUCGGGCCGGAUUCCUGCGCUCGGACGGCUAAUAUGGAUGCGCAUCAGAAUCAGGGGAGAGGCAGAGAUGCGGAAAGGAGCUUGGGGGGACGUCUGGGAGGCCCAAGAGAGGGUAGUGUGCUGAAGGUAGACCCCGGAUCUGGCUCCGGUUCCCCGAAUCUGAAAACAGUGCCCCACCCGCACAGUUCCUUCUGUACGUGGUCCUCGCCCUGCAUCCAGGUUGGUCCUUCCCACCAGCGCAGCGACUUUGGAGCGUGCUUCUCUUCUGACAAACGCAAGGGCCCAACGCAUUUGUCACUUUGCCUUCUCACUUUGCCAACAAAUGAUGCUUCGGUGGAGGCUGCCUGCCCGAGAGGGGCCUAAGGAUGGCGCCUACCUCCACCUUGUCCCCACCCCGCGACGGAAUGGCUGGUGCUGUGUCAUCCACGUCUCCCUUCAAGGCGUCAGGGAAGCCACAUGCAAUAUCUCUUUCUUUCAGAGGGCUCCUGUUUCAACUCUGAAAAAGCACGGGUCCUUCUGAGAGCCUCA